UUGUCUGAACCUUCGGGGAACGAUAACGGCGUCGAGCGGCGGACGGGUGAGUAAUGCCUGGGAAAUUGCCCUGAUGUGGGGGAUAACCAUUGGAAACGAUGGCUAAUACCGCAUAAUAGCUUCGGCUCAAAGAGGGGGACCUUCGGGCCUCUCGCGUCAGGAUAUGCCCAGGUGGGAUUAGCUAGUUGGUGAGGUAAUGGCUCACCAAGGCGACGAUCCCUAGCUGGUCUGAGAGGAUGAUCAGCCACACUGGAACUGAGACACGGUCCAGACUCCUACGGGAGGCAGCAGUGGGGAAUAUUGCACAAUGGGCGCAAGCCUGAUGCAGCCAUGCCGCGUGUAUGAAGAAGGCCUUCGGGUUGUAAAGUACUUUCAGCAGUGAGGAAGGUGGAUGUGUUAAUAGCGCAUUCAUUUGACGUUAGCUGCAGAAGAAGCACCGGCUAACUCCGUGCCAGCAGCCGCGGUAAUACGGAGGGUGCGAGCGUUAAUCGGAAUUACUGGGCGUAAAGCGCAUGCAGGUGGUUUGUUAAGUCAGAUGUGAAAGCCCGGGGCUCAACCUCGGAAUAGCAUUUGAAACUGGCAGACUAGAGUACUGUAGAGGGGGGUAGAAUUUCAGGUGUAGCGGUGAAAUGCGUAGAGAUCUGAAGGAAUACCGGUGG
rnacentral:rRNA from 1 species